AUGGCUUCAGGAGGGCACAGGGCAACUCUUGGUGCCAAAAAUUCAGAAGAGUGCCUGCAUCUUCUCCAUUUAUCCCCGAUGGCUGAGUCCUCUGGCUUCAGCAAGCACAGGAGAGCCCUUGUGUCCCCCUGUGGUAUCUUGGCAGGAGCUGCUUGGCUGCCCAGCCCUUUGCAUGGAGUGAAGAAGACUCCUGGAGCAUACUUUGGGAAAUCCAGACAGCUGUACCGCAUAUCACUCCUUUCUUUAAUAUGCUGUAAAAGUUCCUCCUCCACACUCGCUAUUCUGUUGUCGUAAUUAAGGAUCUGCAUCAGGAAAUGCCACGCUUCAAACCUGAGUUUACUGCGUGCUUGACAGACUCCCACAGCUUCCUUCUCCAGCACUCAUUUCCAUUGAAAAUGCCUCGUGGAGCCAGCAGCUCGCUCUUGCAGAGACUAUCUUGAUAUGUAACGAGGGUGCUGAUUUUAAAUACGUUAUUGAGGUCAUAUUCCAUGCUGAAUGUAUUUUUCUUUUCUGGUAAUGGUUGCGUGACACAUCAGCAUGAUGCUCGGUAAAUCUGGUGAGCUGGGUGGAAAGCUCCUUUCUGUUUGGUUUUUGUGCUCCAGGUGCGUGCCUGGGACACUUCACCAGUAUUAGGAACAUGGAAAAUAUCUAGUAAUGCUCAAAAUAUGCCUGCUUGUCAUAUCUGUAAUCUGGUCCAACCCACUAGUUGCAUAUUUAAUGCACUGGGAAAUGAUCAUUUUGUUCAGAGUAAAAACACAUGCACAUUCAUGCGCUCAGUGCCUCCUUACCUGUAAAGCUGUAGCAUUUCUGCAUGCCUAGAAUCAGGGAGUCAUAGAGUAUCCCGAGUUGGAAGGGGCACGUGAGUAUCAUUGAGUCCAACUCCUAUCAUAUUUAACAAUUUCCACUGGUUGGUGGUUAGUUGGUUGUGUUGUUGUUAUUCCUUGCAUCACAACCAAAUAUGGCCAAGCUCAUGUAGGGAAGGAGGGCAGCCCCAGCCUGUGUUUUUUGGGGGCACAGGGCACAGCCAUGCAGUGCUGUUCUGCUGGUGUAAGUGGAGGAAUAGGUAAUUAAAAGCACAAUGUUAAAAAAAAAAACAAAACAACAAAUUCUCUGUCCAUUAUUAAUGAGAGGGUCAUGGUGGAGAGUAGCGCUGUCUUGAUCUCUCUUUUAGACACAUCUGAGUCUCUGGUAAUUGCAGUAGAUUGUCUGGGUUUUUUUUGUUUCUGAGAGCAGCUGACUUUUCUGUCCACUCACUGCCAUUCUCUCAUCUUUCCUGCUGCCCUGUGACCCCUGACACGCUCCUCUGCUCUGCUGUAUCUUAGUCUGGUCUUCCUUAAGGUCUUGUGUUUUUUCAGGACCACCUAUGGCCCUGCCAUGGCUUUGGGCUACCACCACCGCUUUGCGUUCUACGUGGUUCUCAUUUGUCAUUGUUAGUCCUUCCUUCCUCAUUAGAUAAUUACCAUCCAUGCCACCUCCCUUUUCUAAUCAUUCCUUGAAUGCUUAAAUUAUCACUACAUCAUUCAGAUACAUCUUUGAUCUCCUCAAUACGGUUUUCCAAAGUAGCGUGGUUAUUGCUGUCCCCUUCAUGCCUUCUUGUUAGUUUCAUUUUCACUGAAUGCUUCCCUGUUCCUCUUUGUUCAUGCUCCAGGAAAAAAUAAAAUAAAAUCAGGAAACCCUUUUUUGUUUUUA
ensembl:lncRNA